rnacentral:rRNA from 1 species
GACGAACGCUGGCGGCGUGCUUAACACAUGCAAGUCGAGCGGAGCGGCGAACGGGUGAGUAACGCGUGAGUAACUGCCCCCCUCUCUGGGAUAACAGUUGGAAACGGCUGCUAAUACCGGAUAGCGGGGGAUGACUCGCGUCCUAUCGGCUUGUUGGUGGGGUAGUGGCCUACCAAGGCGACGCCGGGUAGCCGGCCUGAGACGGCGACCGGCCACAUUGGGCUGAGGUACGACCCAAACGCGUACGGGGGGCAGGGGUGGAGAAUAUUGCGCAAUAGGGGAAACCCUGAGGCAACGGCGCCGCGUGGGGAAUGACUGCCUUCGGGUUGUAAACCGCUUUCGGCCAUGACGCGGUAGUGGCAGAAGAAGCACCGGCUAACUACGUGCCAGCAGCCGCGGUAAUUC